rnacentral:rRNA from 1 species
GACAGAGGGUGCAAACGUUGUUCGGAAUUACUGGGCGUAAAGCGCGUGUAGGCGGCCAUCUAAGUCGGGCGUGAAAUCCCACGGCUCAACCGUGGAAGUGCACUCGAAACUGGAUGGCUAGAGUCCUGGAGAGGAAGGUGGAAUGCUUGGUGUAGAGGUGAAAUUCGUAGAUAUCAAGCGGAACACCGGUGGCGAAGGCGGCCUUCUGGACAGUGAC